rnacentral:misc_RNA from 1 species
GAAUUGCGAUAAGUAAUGUGAAUUGCAGAAUUCAGUGAAUCAUCGAAUCUUUGAACGCACCUUGCGCUCCUUGGUAUUCCUUGGAGCAUGCCUGUUUGAGUAUCAUGAAAUCUUCAAAGUAAAUCUUUUGUUAACUCAAUUGGUUUCUACUUUGGUAUUGGAGGUCUUUGCAGCUCCACACCUGCUCCUCUUUGUUCAUUAGCUGGAUCUCAGUGUUAUGCUUGGUUCCACUCGGCGUGAUAAGUUAUCUAUCGCUGAGGACACUGUAAAAGGUGGCCAAGGUAAAUGCAGAUGAACCGCUUCUAAUAGUCCAUUGACUUGGACAAUACUUUUAUGAUCUGAUCUCAAAUCAGGUAGGACUACCCGCUGAACUUAAGC